UCCGGUGGCAAUGGCGAAGGGGAUCCACCUGUUCCCAUACCGAACACAGAAGUUAAGCCCUUCUGCGCCGAAGAUACUUGGCUGGAGACGGCCCGGGAAAAUAGGUCGCUGCCGGAU
rnacentral:rRNA from 1 species